rnacentral:lncRNA from 12 species
CGGCGGCGGCGCGGAAAGUUGAGCGCUCCGUUAUUCCCGGCUGCGCCUCUCGUGCGGCGCGCGGCCCUCGGCGGCUCGCGGCGGGUCCGGCCACCAUUAUCCCUCCGGCGGCGGGUGGGAGGGGAGGGAGGGCUCUUCUGGCCAGGCCGAGGGUGCCCCCGGACCCGGGCUUUGUGGCGGCGUGCGACAUUUGAUUGGCUGGCAGGUUGGGCCGCCUGCUCGCCGCGGCGGCGCGGACGUGUGGGGGACCCAGCACCUUUUGCGGCGGACAAAGGUGAAUGGAAGCGGCGGCCAGUUCUCCCCGGGGUCCUGCCCGCGAGGUGGCCGGUGGAGCGCUCGACACAAGGAUUACUCUUUCGCGGGAGCAAAUCGUUGUUGUUGCCUCCCCACCCCCACCCACCCUACUUUCUGCCAUUUUCAGAGUGAUUUUGAUUCGUGUAUUCCCAGGGUUUCUGCCUCACCUUUAUUUUUAGACUAA